rnacentral:tRNA from 1 species
GGUUGUGGCUUAGCGGUAGAGCACUUGCCUAGCACGUGUGAGGCCCUGGGUUCGAUCCUCAGCACCA